ACGCUGGCGGCGUGCCUAACACAUGCAAGUCGAACGGGGAUUUGUUUCGGCAGAAUCCUAGUGGCGAACGGGUGAGUAACGCGUAGGCAACCUGCCCUCCGGCCGGGGACAACACUCCGAAAGGGGUGCUAAUACCGGAUACGAAGUCUGUGCCGCAUGGUACGGAUUUGAAAGAUGGCCUCUAUUUAUAAGCUAUCGCCGGGGGAUGGGCCUGCGUCCGAUUAGCUGGUUGGUGGGGUAACGGCCUACCAAGGCGACGAUCGGUAGCCGGUCUGAGAGGAUGAACGGCCACAUUGGGACUGAGACACGGCCCAGACUCCUACGGGAGGCAGCAGUGGGGAAUCUUCCGCAAUGGGCGCAAGCCUGACGGAGCAACGCCGCGUGAGUGAGGAAGUUCUUCGGAACGUAAAGCUCUGUUGUUCCUGACGAACCUCCCUUCUAUGAACAACGGAGGGGACUGACGGUAGGGAACGAGGAAGCCACGGCUAACUACGUGCCAGCCGCCGC
rnacentral:rRNA from 1 species